rnacentral:rRNA from 1 species
UACGGAGGAUCCGAGCGUUAUCCGGAAUUAUUGGGUUUAAAGGGUGCGUAGGCGGCCAUGCAAGUCUGGAGUGGAAGUCCAUCUUUCAAGGGUGGAAUUGCUUUGGAAACUGUGUGGCUGGAGUGCAGGAGAGGUUAUCGGAAUUCCCGGUGUAGCGGUGAAAUGCGUAGAGAUCGGGAGGAACAUCAGUGGCGAAGGCGGGUAACUGGACUGCAACUGACGCUGAGGCGCGAAAGUGUGGGGAGCAAACAGGAUUAGAUACCCCGGUAGGU